AUCGCUUCUCGGCCUUUUGGCUAAGAGCAAGCACCAGAAGAAAAAAAAGAAAAAAAUCUGUUCUUAUCAGUUUAAUAUCUGAUACGUCCCCUACCCGGGGACCAUAUAUUAAAUUGAUUUUUGGAACUGGGAGAUGGAAUAGGGGCUUGCUCUGUCCACUCCACGCAUCGACCUGGUAUUGCAGUACCUCCAGGAACGGUGCACUCCCA
ensembl:snRNA U2 U2 spliceosomal RNA